rnacentral:sRNA from 1 species
UACCAUUGACCUCGCAUCCCUGUACAUG